rnacentral:rRNA from 1 species
UACAGAGGGGGCAAGCGUUAUUCGGAAUUAUUGGGCGUAAAGGGCGCGUAGGCGGCUUGGCAAGUGGAUGGUGAAAUCCCUCGGCUUAACCGAGGAACUGCCGUCCAAACUGCUUUGCUUGAGACCGGGAGAGGUGAGUGGAAUUCCCAGUGUAGCGGUGAAAUGUGUAGAUAUUGGGAGGAACACCAGUGGCGAAGGCGGCUCACUGGACCGGUACUGACGCUGAUGCGCGAAAGCGUGGGGAGCAAACGGGG